rnacentral:rRNA from 1 species
GAUGAACGCUGGCGGCGUGCCUAAUACAUGCAAGUCGAGCGAAAAGACGAGGAGCUUGCUCCUCUGACGUUAGCGGCGGACGGGUGAGUAACACGUGGAUAACCUACCUAUAAGACUGGGAUAACUUCGGGAAACCGGAGCUAAUACCGGAUAAUAUAUUGAACCGCAUGGUUCAAUAGUGAAAGACGGUUUUGCUGUCACUUAUAGAUGGAUCCGCGCCGCAUUAGCUAGUUGGUAAGGUAACGGCUUACCACGGCGACGAUGCGUAGCCGACCUGAGAGGGUGAUCGGCGACACGGGAGCUGAGACACGGUCCAGACUCCUACGGGAGGCAGCAGUAGGGAAUCGUCCGCAAUGGGCGAAAGCCUGACGGAACAACGCCGCGUGAGUGAUGAAGGUCUUCGGAUCGUAAAACUCUGUUAUUAGGGAAGAACAAAUGUGUAAGUAACUAUGCACUGCUUGACGGUACCUAAUCAGAAAGCCACGGCUAACUACGUG